GGUAUACACUUGAUCUCUGAGAAAUCAGGUAAGUUGCAAUGAAGAAGCUUUUGGUAGCUGAUGCA
rfam:Physcomitrella patens subsp. patens PHYPAscaffold_77 genomic scaffold, whole genome shotgun sequence.